AUAUCAAUAAGCGGAGGAAAAGAAACUAACAAGGAUUCCCCUAGUAACUGCGAGUGAGGCGGGAAGAGCUCAAAUUUAAAAUCUGGCGUGCCUCUGGUCGUCCGAGUUGUAGUCUGGAGAAGCGUUUUCCGUGUUGGACCGUGUAUAAGUCCCUUGGAACAGGGCGUCAUAGAGGGUGACAGCCCCGUAUGUGGUGCCAUCGCCUAACGAGCUCCUUUCGACGAGUCGGGUAGCUUUGAAUUGCUGCCCUAAGCCGGGAGAUAGACUUCUUCUAAGGCUAAAUAUAUAUGGGAGACCGAUAGCGCACAAGUA
rnacentral:rRNA from 1 species